AAUAAAAUCUGGACAGCUAUUGGGUGACACUCUGUCAAUAUUAAGAGUGGGCGGGAGAAUAUAAAAGGCAGCGUAUAGUUCGUAAUCAUGUAGUGCAGUUCUGGACAGCGAAGAGAGCGGACAGCAGGGGAAAUUAAACUGUACAGACCUUUUCGACACCUACUUCCAUUACUUUCAAAAAUGGCUCGUAAAAAACAGAGCUGCCCGCUGUGCCUUGUCAGGUACACAAACGUGUGCGUCCACCUGAGGGACGUACAUAAAGUUAAAACAAGCGAGGAGCGCAAGCUUCUAAUUUCAAUAGCAACCUGUAGGUACGCUGGCCGCGUGGAUUGCCAGAUACCGGGCCGCAAUGCAAGGAAUCUGUCGCGCAUUGACAGACACUUGCAAGUGAGCCAUGAGUUGAAGGGUGAGGAACUGGCUCAUCAGGUCCGUCUCUGCAAGCGUAUUGCUGCAAGAGGCGCCCUUCGGAAAUUUAACCAGAAAAUGAAAGAGAACGGCAGUGAGGUGGAAGAACUUAAAAAAACCGUGGACGAACUUAAAAAGCAUCUCGAUGCGUCAGAGUCGCAAAAGUCAGAGGGUCACCACAGACUUCUCUUCACAGAGAAAGUAUUAACAAAAUUCAAAGCAAGCCUAUACCUUGUCGGGGAAUCAAAAAAAUCCAUAGAAAACAGUAGGCAGGAAUUGGGAUAUGUAAAAAAUUUUGUUGAAUAUAUGUGGGAUCAUUCAGACAGCCCGGACCCAGCCCACAUGAAAUUUUUAAAUGAUCCAUUCAGGAUCAACAAUUGGGUGGAAGGACUAUAUUCUAAAUUUAAAGUUACAACUUGUAAAACCUAUAUAUUGGCAAUUAAAAAAAAAUUCAGUUUUUGUCGGAGCAAAAUUUGAAGUGCGUACAAUUGGGCAGCAAAUUUUUAUUGGGCAUUCAGCGGCACUUGCAGUGUCAAAUUCAUGCAUUAGGGAAAAGAAUUGUGGGGCACAGGCAGGAGGUUAAGCAAAACAAGAAGAAAAGGAUGCUGACUCGUCACGAUUUGGCGCACUCUGGCAACAGACCUGGAGAAUAGGAUUCCUGAGUCUCUAGAUCACUAGCCAUAAGACAGCUGGUACUUUUGGGAGGGCGAAGGUUGCCCUGAACCGAAAGGAGUUCAGAUGGUUCCAGAAAUUUGAGAAAAUCAGGCCACAUCUCCCAGGAUACCAGUACAACCCAGUCGCCUUCUUUUUUAGUGCGUCAGGCCAGCCAUUGCGGAAAUUGACGGAGUUUGUGAUGCAGGCAUGUUGGUGAGUGUGGGAUGCCACGUCCCUACAAUGUGACAGAGAUCCGUAGUGCUGUCUCCACCUGUGUAAGUAAAAAUUGCUAUAGUCUUUUGCAUAGGAUAAAAUAUUGGUUGUACACUAACAUGGUUUUCAUCUUUUAUGAUAGGUGCAUGGAAUUGCUUCAGAGGAAGAGAGGCGUCUGGUCUCUCAGCUAAUGUACCACAGUGUGGAGACCGCAGAUCGGUUUUAUGUUGUGGAGCCAGGCUUUGCAGAUUCUCACAGGGGAAGUAAUAUUGUUAAGGCGGCACUGGGUAUUGGCAAGGCAUGCCGUACAACAGAUCUGCAGUCUGACACUGUGGCACAAGGAAGCAGCGCUGUAACACCGAGAAGGCAUAUUUCAGUAAUAGAGUCGUCUGAGGAAGAAGACGAAUCCUCAGCUGCAUGUAGCCACGCAGUAGAGGGGCCCGGUGUAACAGACCUGUGCUGGGGAAGGUGAGGUCAUUGAAUUGCAUCUUAGUGCAGAAGAGUCUGACCCUGGCAGGGAGGAACAUUGUGGUGUCUCUGUUAAGAAGGGCACUGAUGAAUUGUGUCUUUAAAAGUUAGAUGAAGGCAAAGGCUCAUUUGUUUUUGAAGUAGAAGAGGAAGGAGAUGAAGAAGAGGAGCAGGGUGAAUUUCCUAGUCCUCUUCGGAAAAGUCUUCAUUACCCAGGGAAAACUAGGCAAGUUUAUAGGAGGAGGCUUUCAUACCCAGAGACUAUGAAAGAAAUGGUGAAGAAUGUUUUUAAGCCAUAUUGAGAUUCACCCAUAUCAACAGUCAUUAUAAAUAAAGUACUAAGCGAUACACCUCUACUUUUGAGCCGAUGCAAGCAGAUGGACAUGACCAUAGACAACUUUAGAAGUCUGGUCAAGCAACUGCAAAAAAAUGUAGAAGACUAUUGAUCUCGAUGGCAGCGCUGAGUUAUUUCUUCUUUCUUUUUUCCUGAAAGUAUUGUUUUACCCUUUCAGUAAAAGCUGUUUUAUGGUGAAUAAAACUUGGUUGACUUUGCAUGAA